GAAAUUCAGUUCAGUUUAGAAUGUGGGCUUGAAUAAGCCGGUUCUCUCCUUGUCGACAGCAACGAGCAAUGUGGAAAUAGAAAAAGAUAUUAAAGAAUUAAAGCAGAAGCCAAGUUGAAGUUGGAAAUUUAAAAAUAAUUAUUAUAAAUAAAUACAUUUUAGGUGAAGUAUUACUAUUUGUAGUGAAAUAAUAAAGUCGAACUAAAUUGCGCUUCACCAGAACAAUAAGCAGCGAGUUGGCCGCUCUGUCAGUAAAUACUCGUAUAGUAGACGCGCCGUUAGAAAUAUGGUAAAAAACUAGUGAAGCAACGAAACUGAUGGGAAAGUGGUGGCUAAGUGCAAAUAAGCGAUAAGUGGAGGACGUGACGCGCCGAGCCAAAAUAGCGCCAGUCUAGAUAAGAUGAGUCACAGCGAAAUACCCCGACGGUCGCGCUGCUGCCUUCGCCCACAUGUAGUUACUACAAGGACGCAGUAAUACUUACACGCAAAACGAACAAAUACAACAAUGGCAACGAAAAACAACAAAUAUGUUUUUUGAUCUCAGGAAAUAAAAGAGUUGUCCGCGUUUAGAAGCAGUUUAGUAAGUAACCACGCACCUGAAAGCCGGCAACACUACGAAGUUUAUUGGCACAAAAAAUCAAAACAGCACAAAAACCACAAACACCGUUAAGCGAGGUAAAUGCCAAGGAAAAGAGAGUUUAAAAGUGCGGAACCGAAGUGUUAAGCAGUUAAAACAGUUGAAAAAAGUUGUAAAAAGACAGAAGCGAAAUGUGAACGACCGCUGGCGAAAAGCAAGCAUUUGAGAAAAAGCAGACGAAAACACUCCAACCGACGCUUAAGUGCAAUAACCGACAAAAGUAACAAAAACAAGCCAUUGCACGGCAACUAAACUCUAACAGCGCAACUGUAACAUCAAUAGCACAAUCAACAACAACAAUAAUUGCACGAAGUAAUAUCGAGCUACAAACAAUUCUUCGACUUCUAUUCAUACUUACUAAAACUUAUAAACUCCAUGAGAAUCCAAAGCAGAAAGUCCGAACAAAUGCAAAAAUUGUUUUUAAUAUCUGAGGACUUUACGGACGAUAUAAGCGCAUAACACCGAAAUAGUUUCAAAUAAUAUUGAAUAAAUGGUUUUAUGGAAGAAUGAUGCAAUUGUCGGAGAGAAAAGAAAACGACUGCAACGGUAAUUGCAGGAUAAACGUCAUGAUAGGAAAGCAUCUCAGUCUACAUUCAAAGUCAUCACCACAAAACUUUCCCAAAAGACGAGAUCUUCACGACCAACAACGCGUUUUAAAAAUAACAAAUUAAAUAAAGCAGCUUAUAAAGAGAAGGUGUGUGCCGAGUCGUAUAGAAAUUAAAUUUAAAAAGCAGCAAAUGAACUUGUUUGUGGAAUGAAUUUCCUGAAAGCAAGUAGCAACUACAACAACUCUCUCCGCUGUCAGCUGGUUGCUGCUGGGGCUUGAGUUUAUAAUUUCGUUAGCAGCACAAGAAUAAUCAAUUGUUUAUCAAAAUAUUUGUAUCAAAUUGUUAAGUUGACAAUCAUAACCACAAUGAAUAACAGGCAAAAAUAUGAAUUAAUAGCCAAACUUUAUGUAAAUAAAACACAACAAAAUGAAGCACCGAAACCAGGUGGGAAGGAAGAGACGCGAUUACUCCGCAAAUUUUCUGCCCACAGCUAUUAUGGGCAAACUUGCGGACAGACAACAAAUAAACACAAUUUGUAUUUGAACGGCCAUUGAAAUAAGAAAGCUCUACUAUAUGAUUUAUUUUGUAAACUCAGCUUAUUGUCUUUUAUCUGAGCAUCAAAACUCAUUGCCGAAUGUUUAAAUAAUUGUGCUGAAACGGCGAGACAGGCGCUAUAAAUUGCUCUGGAUUAAUGCUGGUGAAAAAUCUGCGGAAUGAUAUGAACAUACGGUGGAACUGAAGCGAGUAUGGAGGCAUACGGCAUCUCCCGAUUCCUCCACAUAGGCUUUGGAGGAGCACAUCUCAUGUGUAACAGGGCAGAUGAGAAAUCUAAACCUCCUUUAUUUAGGAUAAAGAUAGCAAACUAUGCACUAAUGUCAGCAAGUUGAUUGACACUUUGAGCUAAAUAGCACAGAGCUCGAGUUGGGUAACAGUCAUCGGAUCAUCGUUGAAGUAAGGCGAGUGAAAAAAUGAGGCGUGCCUCUGAGCGGAUGACAAUUUUUCUACUUUAGAGACCACUUCAGUGAAAACCUGCAGAGAAUUUGUUAUUGGCGAAUAAUGAGUAGCAUUUUACUCCGGAUUUGCUAGCACUUGCAGAUGAGGAAAAAGAGACGACACCAAUUCACGGAAAUGAAAUUCAUUGCAUUAAUUAUUCAUUAAGUCGACAUGUAACUCAAAUUUUAAUAAUAAUUAAAGUGCAAUGAGUAAAA